UGAUGAAGUGGGAAAUGACCUGUGAGAA
rnacentral:piRNA from 1 species